ACGUGAAUGUGUGUUCCAACAUGCAUGGAAUGGAACUGGAACCAUUCAGCUUUGUAUCCUAGGAACUAUAAGGAAAAACAGUAAAACCCGAUUUUCCUUUAACACACUGUAGCGGAUGUCUAUGUCUUUGAAACAUGAAGAUUUCAGCUGCAACCCUGUUUACUUCAUAAAGGUCUGAGUGGUCAGUGUGUGCACUAAGACAAACAAACUGAAGUCAGAACAACAAGCACGCCACAGAAGAAGAAGCUGCCGGAAUUAUACUAUGUGCAUGAACAAAUAUGCCUAGUGCCGGAGUACGUCAUCUUGCAAAUACAGACUCUCCAUCCCCCUGCCUGCUUCUACCACACAGCAGCAUAAAAACGACUUGUUAUGUGUGGGUACAAUGGAAGGGCUAGUGCACUCCAGAAACGUUCAAGGAAGAAACCUUGUUUGCAGGCAAAAUAGUUUUUUUAACGUAGCCAGCUUUAUGCAGCUCACGGAUGACAGCUCUCAAAAUGCUCUAGUCUGCCAUUAGAGAUGAGCAUGUGUAAUUUGCGAUGAAUAAUUUACAAAAUGUCUCUCAGCAGA